UACGUAGGGGGCAAGCGUUGACCGGAUUUAUUGGGCGUAAAGAGCGUGUAGGCGGUUUGGUAGGUCCGUUGUGAAAACUCGAGGCUCAACCUCGAGACGCCGAUGGAAACCAUCAGACUAGAGUCCGGAAGAGGAGAGUGGAAUUCCUGGUGUAGCGGUGAAAUGCGCAGAUAUCAGGAAGAACACCCGUGGCUAAGGCGGCUCUCUAGUACGGUACUGACGCUGAGACGCGAAAGCGUGGGGAGCGAACAGG
rnacentral:rRNA from 1 species